GGUCGCUCUUUGGUAUGAACGAACCAAAUAUUCACCUCUCAGCCAAAUUCUUCAAACACAACCCUAGCAUUCUCAGCGAAAUUCUCAGCGAAUCGGCCCUCUUCCUCAGCGAAAAUUUCAGCCAAAUUAAAGUCCCUCAAAUCAAAAUGUGAAUCUCUUUUGUCAGUUUCAUGACAACUAUUACUGCGUUUCAAUCUCAAUCUCAAGCAAUAAGUGGACUCAACUAUAUGAAUUUCGUUGUCCUUUUUUUAACUUUCCCAAGAUUUCAGUACUUUGUUGAAGAAAUCCUCGAGAAUGGUUUUUCAGUUGAUUAGAGAAGGAGAUUUGGUUGAGUCAAAUCGGAUUGCUGUGUACAUAGUCAAUAUGACAUUUCAUAUAUUAGAAGUGAAGCAGUAAAAGGGAUAAUUCUCUUUCAACUUCGCUGCUCUCAAGUGUCGUCUAUUCUCUUUGGGACAGGGCACUUAAACAGUGGUAUCAUUCAAGGAUGGUGUCGAGCAAAGAGCAGUUACAAGGUUUGGGUCAAAAUGAGGCAAAGAAGCCAAAAUGAACUCAUAAAGGAGUCGAACUUGCACAAGCCCAAAGAAUGGAACUGGAGCGCUAUCAGCACUAUUAUGAUGCGGACGCGUAUGACACUCAGCUGAGGCGAUUGAAAAUAUGCUGCAGCGAAAGUGAUGUUCAGAGAAGCUGCGGCCAAGUGCUAACACUAUCGCUGACCGCGUCUAAAUUACCCGGCCGCAAAAGUACCAGGCGUGGACGCGGUGCAAAUAUCGCUAAGGGCGAAAUAGAGAAUCAGAGACCUUGCAAUAUGAGCUCAAAUGAGGAACGCGGUCCGCGAACAUUUUACGUGGCCGUGAUAGAAGCCAAUGCUGAUGCAGUAGACUUUACGCUGCACGCGAAACCUAGCCCAGUCCCAGUCCAAAAUUGAAGAAACGCGGUGCGCACUUGCUUUUGCGCGGCCGCGAAAGCCCAUGCGCUGAGGCGCCCAGUAUUUCGCUGAUCGGAACCUCCGUAGGAGUAUUUUUGUCUAGUAAUUUCAGCUGUGUAUAAAUAGAUCUUUUUCACAUUUUUAGGUUAUCUUUUUGUCCGAGGAACAACCGUAUUUUACCACUUGAAGUAAUUUUAGAGCAGCUUUAGCUAUUAUUCUUAGAUUUCAUUCUUGUAAUCAACUUUUAUGGCUUAUAUUUUAUCUCCAUCUUUGAUUUCUA